UAGUGGCGAACGGGUGAGUAACGCGUGAGGAACCUGCCUCAAAGAGGGGGACAACAGUUGGAAACGACUGCUAAUACCGCAUAAGCCCACGGCUCGGCAUCGAGCAGAGGGAAAAGGAGCGAUCCGCUUUGAGAUGGCCUCGCGUCCGAUUAGCUAGUUGGUGAGGUAACGGCCCACCAAGGCGACGAUCGGUAGCCGGACUGAGAGGUUGAACGGCCACAUUGGGACUGAGACACGGCCCAGACUCCUACGGGAGGCAGCAGUGGGGAAUAUUGCACAAUGGGGGAAACCCUGAUGCAGCGACGCCGCGUGGAGGAAGAAGGUCUUCGGAUUGUAAACUCCUGUUGUUGGGGAAGAUAAUGACGGUACCCAACAAGGAAGUGACGGCUAACUACGUGCCAGCAGCCGCGGUAAAACGUAGGUCACAAGCGUUGUCCGGAAUUACUGGGUGUAAAGGGAGCGCAGGCGGGAAGACAAGUUGGAAGUGAAAUCUAUGGGCUCAACCCAUAAACUGCUUUCAAAACUGUUUUUCUUGAGUAGUGCAGAGGUAGGCGGAAUUCCCGGUGUAGCGGUGGAAUGCGUAGAUAUCGGGAGGAACACCAGUGGCGAAGGCGGCCUACUGGGCACCAACUGACGCUGAGGCUCGAAAGUGUGGGUAGCAAACAGGAUUAGAUACCCUGGUAGUCCACACCGUAAACGAUGAUUACUAGGUGUUGGAGGAUUGACCCCUUCAGUGCCGCAGUUAACACAAUAAGUAAUCCACCUGGGGAGUACGACCGCAAGGUUGAAACUCAAAGGAAUUGACGGGGGCCCGCACAAGCAGUGGAGUAUGUGGUUUAAUUCGACGCAACGCGAAGAACCUUACCAAGUCUUGACAUCCCUUGACGAUGCUGGAAACAGUAUUUCUCUUCGGAGCAAGGAGACAGGUGGUGCAUGGUUGUCGUCAGCUCGUGUCGUGGGAUGUUGGGUUAAGUCCCGCAACGAGCGCAACCCUUAUGGUCAGUUACUACGCAAGAGGACUCUGGCCAGACUGCCGUUGACAAAACGGAGGAAGGUGGGGAUGACGUCAAAUCAUCAUGCCCUUUAUGACUUGGGCUACACACGUACUACAAUGGCGUUAAACAAAGAGAAGCAAGACCGCGAGGUGGAGCAAAACUCAGAAACAACGUCCCAGUUCGGACUGCAGGCUGCAACUCGCCUGCACGAAGCCGGAAUUGCUAGUAAUCGUGGAUCAGCAUGCCACGGUGAAUACGUUCCCGGGCCUUGUACACACCGCCCGUCACACCAUGAGAGCCGGGGGGACCCGAAGUCGGUAG
rnacentral:rRNA from 1 species